rnacentral:rRNA from 1 species
CCCGACUACACGAAGCUGGAAUCGCUAGUAAUCGCGAAUCAGAACGUCGCGGUGAAUACGUUCCCGGGUCUUGUACACACCGCCCGUCACACCAUGGGAGUCGGGAAUGCCCGAAGCCGGUGACCCAACCGAAAGGAAGGAGCCGUCGAAGGCAGGCCUGGUAACUGGGUGAAGUCGUAACAAGGUACC